AGCCAGUGAUGAAAUUGAUUCUGCCAAAUGAGUUACUGUGAUAUUACCCUUUCCGUUCAUUUCUCUCUGAGGUU
ensembl:snoRNA